UUCCUUUAAGCGGGGGAUAGCCCAGAGAAAUUUGGAUUAAUACCCCAUAGUAUAGUUGUCUGGCAUCAGAUGGUUAUUAAAGAUUUAUCACUUAAAGAUGGCUGUGCGGCUGAUUAGGUAGUUGGUGUGGGUAACGGCCUACCAAGCCUUCGAUCAGUAACUGGUGUGAGAGCACGACCAGUCACACGGGCACUGAGACACGGGCCCGACUCCUACGGGAGGCAGCAGUAAGGAAUAUUGGUCAAUGGACGCAAGUCUGAACCAGCCAUGCCGCGUGAAGGAUGAAGGCCCUCUGGGUUGUAAACUUCUUUUAUCUGGGACGAAACACUCGUUUUCUAACGAGCUUGACGGUACCAGAGGAAUAAGCACCGGCUAACUCCGUGCCAGCAGCCGCGGUAAUACGGAGGAUGCAAGCGUUAUCCGGAUUCACUGGGUUUAAAGGGUGCGUAGGUGGGAAUGUAAGUCAGUGGUGAAAUCUCCGUGCUUAACAUGGAAACUGCCAUUGAUACUAUGUUUCUUGAAUUAUCUGGAGGUCAGCGGA
rnacentral:rRNA from 1 species